UACGUAGGGUGCGAGCGUUGUCCGGAAUUAUUGGGCGUAAAGGGCUCGUAGGCGGUUUGUCGCGUCGGGGAGUGAAAACCAGGUGCUUAACACCUGGCUUGCUUUCGAUACGGGCAGACUAGAGGUAUGCAGGGGAGAACGGAAUUCCUGGUGUAGCGGUGAAAUGCGCAGAUAUCAGGAGGAACACCGGUGGCGAAGGCGGGUCUCUGGGCAGUGAACUGACGUGGAGGAGCGAAAGCGUGGGGAGCGAACAG
rnacentral:rRNA from 1 species